rnacentral:rRNA from 1 species
GGAGUUAGCCGGUGCUUCUUCUGUGAGUGAUGUCCUUCCUGCCGGCUAUUAACCCGCAGGCCUUCUUCCUCACUGAAAGUGCUUUACAACCCGAAGGCCUUCUUCACACACGCGGCAUGGCUGGAUCAGGGUUGCCCCCAUUGUCCAAUAUUCCCCACUGCUGCCUCCCGUAGGAGUCUGGGCCGUGUCUCAGUCCCAGUGUGGCUGAUCAUCCUCUCAGACCAGCUACGGAUCGUCGCCUUGGUGAGCCGUUACCUCACCAACCAGCUAAUCCGACAUAGGCUCAUCCGAUAGCGCGAGGCCCGAAGGUCCCCCGCUUUCCCCCGUAGGGCGUAUGCGGUAUUAGCCUGGGUUUCCCCCAGGUUAUCCCCCACUACCGGGCAGAUUCCUAUGCAUUACUCACCCGUCCGCCGCUCGCCACCAGGGAGCAAGCUCCCCGUGCUGCCGCUCGACUUGCAUGUGUUAGGCCUGCCGCCAGCGUUCAAUCUGAGCANANACAACUACUGA